AACGAACGCUGGCGGCAGGCUUAACACAUGCAAGUCGAACGAGGUCUUCGGAUCUAGUGGCAGACGGGUGAGGAACACGUGGGAACAUCCCUUUCAGUUCGGAAUAACGUUGGGAAACUAACGCUAAUACCGGAUACGUCCUUCGGGAGAAAGGUUUAUCGCUGAAAGAUUGGCCCGCGUCUGAUUAGCUAGGUGGUGAGGUAAUAGCUAACCAAGGCUACGAUCAGUAGCUGAUUUGAGAGGAUGAUCAGGCACAUUGGGACUGAGACACGGACCAAACUCCUCCGGGAGGCAGCAGUGGGGAAGAUUGGACAAUGGGGUCAAGCCUGAUCCAGCCAUGCCGCGUGAGUGAUGACGGCCUUCGGGUUGUAAAGCUCUUUUGUCCGGGAAGAUAAUGACUGUACCGGAAGAAUAAGCCCCGGCAAACUUCGUGCCAGCAGCCGCAGUAA
rnacentral:rRNA from 1 species